rnacentral:rRNA from 2 species
UUAAGCGACUAAGCGUACACGGUGGAUGCCCUGGCAGUCAGAGGCGAUGAAGGACGUGCUAAUCUGCGAUAAGCGUCGGUGAGGUGAUAUGAACCGUUAUAACCGGCGAUUUCCGAAUGGGGAAACCCAGUGUGUUUCGACACACUAUCAUUAACUGAAUCCAUAGGUUAAUGAGGCGAACCGGGGGAACUGAAACAUCUAAGUACCCCGAGGAAAAGAAAUCAACCGAGAUUCCCCCAGUAGCGGCGAGCGAACGGGGAGGAGCCCAGAGCCUGAAUCAGUGUGUGUGUUAGUGGAAGCGUCUGGAAAGGCGUGCGAUACAGGGUGACAGCCCCGUACACAAAAAUGCACAUAUUGUGAGCUCGAUGAGUAGGGCGGGACACGUGGUAUCCUGUCUGAAUAUGGGGGGACCAUCCUCCAAGGCUAAAUACUCCUGACUGACCGAUAGUGAACCAGUACCGUGAGGGAAAGGCGAAAAGAACCCCGGCGAGGGGAGUGAAAAAGAACCUGAAACCGUGUACGUACAAGCAGUGGGAGCCUCUUAAUGGGGUGACUGCGUACCUUUUGUAUAAUGGGUCAGCGACUUAUAUUCUGUAGCAAGGUUAACCGAAUAGGGGAGCCGAAGGGAAACCGAGUCUUAACUGGGCGUUAAGUUGCAGGGUAUAGACCCGAAACCCGGUGAUCUAGCCAUGGGCAGGUUGAAGGUUGGGUAACACUAACUGGAGGACCGAACCGACUAAUGUUGAAAAAUUAGCGGAUGACUUGUGGCUGGGGGUGAAAGGCCAAUCAAACCGGGAGAUAGCUGGUUCUCCCCGAAAGCUAUUUAGGUAGCGCCUCGUGAAUUCAUCUCCGGGGGUAGAGCACUGUUUCGGCAAGGGGGUCAUCCCGACUUACCAACCCGAUGCAAACUGCGAAUACCGGAGAAUGUUAUCACGGGAGACACACGGCGGGUGCUAACGUCCGUCGUGAAGAGGGAAACAACCCAGACCGCCAGCUAAGGUCCCAAAGUCAUGGUUAAGUGGGAAACGAUGUGGGAAGGCCCAGACAGCCAGGAUGUUGGCUUAGAAGCAGCCAUCAUUUAAAGAAAGCGUAAUAGCUCACUGGUCGAGUCGGCCUGCGCGGAAGAUGUAACGGGGCUAAACCAUGCACCGAAGCUGCGGCAGCGACGCUUAUGCGUUGUUGGGUAGGGGAGCGUUCUGUAAGCCUGCGAAGGUGUACUGUGAGGCAUGCUGGAGGUAUCAGAAGUGCGAAUGCUGACAUAAGUAACGAUAAAGCGGGUGAAAAGCCCGCUCGCCGGAAGACCAAGGGUUCCUGUCCAACGUUAAUCGGGGCAGGGUGAGUCGACCCCUAAGGCGAGGCCGAAAGGCGUAGUCGAUGGGAAACAGGUUAAUAUUCCUGUACUUGGUGUUACUGCGAAGGGGGGACGGAGAAGGCUAUGUUGGCCGGGCGACGGUUGUCCCGGUUUAAGCGUGUAGGCUGGUUUUCCAGGCAAAUCCGGAAAAUCAAGGCUGAGGCGUGAUGACGAGGCACUACGGUGCUGAAGCAACAAAUGCCCUGCUUCCAGGAAAAGCCUCUAAGCAUCAGGUAACAUCAAAUCGUACCCCAAACCGACACAGGUGGUCAGGUAGAGAAUACCAAGGCGCUUGAGAGAACUCGGGUGAAGGAACUAGGCAAAAUGGUGCCGUAACUUCGGGAGAAGGCACGCUGAUAUGUAGGUGAAGCGACUUGCUCGUGGAGCUGAAAUCAGUCGAAGAUACCAGCUGGCUGCAACUGUUUAUUAAAAACACAGCACUGUGCAAACACGAAAGUGGACGUAUACGGUGUGACGCCUGCCCGGUGCCGGAAGGUUAAUUGAUGGGGUUAGCGGUAACGCGAAGCUCUUGAUCGAAGCCCCGGUAAACGGCGGCCGUAACUAUAACGGUCCUAAGGUAGCGAAAUUCCUUGUCGGGUAAGUUCCGACCUGCACGAAUGGCGUAAUGAUGGCCAGGCUGUCUCCACCCGAGACUCAGUGAAAUUGAACUCGCUGUGAAGAUGCAGUGUACCCGCGGCAAGACGGAAAGACCCCGUGAACCUUUACUAUAGCUUGACACUGAACAUUGAGCCUUGAUGUGUAGGAUAGGUGGGAGGCUUUGAAGUGUGGACGCCAGUCUGCAUGGAGCCGACCUUGAAAUACCACCCUUUAAUGUUUGAUGUUCUAACGUUGGCCCCUGAUCGGGGUUGCGGACAGUGUCUGGUGGGUAGUUUGACUGGGGCGGUCUCCUCCUAAAGAGUAACGGAGGAGCACGAAGGUUGGCUAAUCCUGGUCGGACAUCAGGAGGUUAGUGCAAUGGCAUAAGCCAGCUUGACUGCGAGCGUGACGGCGCGAGCAGGUGCGAAAGCAGGUCAUAGUGAUCCGGUGGUUCUGAAUGGAAGGGCCAUCGCUCAACGGAUAAAAGGUACUCCGGGGAUAACAGGCUGAUACCGCCCAAGAGUUCAUAUCGACGGCGGUGUUUGGCACCUCGAUGUCGGCUCAUCACAUCCUGGGGCUGAAGUAGGUCCCAAGGGUAUGGCUGUUCGCCAUUUAAAGUGGUACGCGAGCUGGGUUUAGAACGUCGUGAGACAGUUCGGUCCCUAUCUGCCGUGGGCGCUGGAGAACUGAGGGGGGCUGCUCCUAGUACGAGAGGACCGGAGUGGACGCAUCACUGGUGUUCGGGUUGUCAUGCCAAUGGCACUGCCCGGUAGCUAAAUGCGGAAGAGAUAAGUGCUGAAAGCAUCUAAGCACGAAACUUGCCCCGAGAUGAGUUCUCCCUGAGACUUUAAGUCUCCUGAAGGAACGUUGAAGACGACGACGUUGAUAGGCCGGGUGUGUAAGCGCAGCGAUGCGUUGAGCUAACCGGUACUAAUGAACCGUGAGGCUUAACCUU